AAACCAGCACCUCAAGUGGUCAGGAUGAUUAUUGGGCCUAAAGCAUCCGUAGCCGGCUCUGUAAGUUUUCGGUUAAAUCUGUACGCUCAACGUACAGGCUGCUGGGAAUACUGCAGAGCUAGGGAGUGGGAGAAGUAGACGGUACUCGGGAGGAAGUGGUAAAAUGCUUUGAUCUCUCGAUGACCACCUGUGGCGAAGGCGGUCUAUCAGAACACGUCCGACGGUGAGGGAUGAAAGCUGGGGGAGCAAACCGGAUUAGAAACCCCGGUAGUCC
rnacentral:rRNA from 1 species